rnacentral:tRNA from 1 species
GGUGAGGUGGCGAGAGGCUGAAGGCGCUCCCCUGCUAAGGGAGUAUGCGGUCAAAAGCUGCAUCCGGGGUUCGAAUCCCCGCCUCACCGCCA